rnacentral:SRP_RNA from 1 species
GCACGUGGCGCAGUGGUGCAUGCCUGUGGUCCCAGCUACUCGGGAGGCUGAGGUGGGAGGAUCACUUGAGCCCAGGAGUUCUGGGCUGUAGUGCACUAUGCUGAUUGGGUGUCCGCACUAAGUUCGGCAUCAAUAUGGUGACUUCUCGGGAGCGGGGGACCACCAGGUUGCCUAAGGAGGGGUGAACCGGCCCAGAUCAGAAACGGAGCAGGUCAAAACUCCUGUGCUGAUCAGUAGUGGGAUCGCGCCUGUGAAUAGCCAUUGUACUCCAGCCUGGGCAACAUGGCGAGACCCCGUCUCU